GCGCCGGUGGUGUAAGGCGAACAUCGCUGCCCGGAAAGCAGAAGAUGCGGGUUCAAGUCCCGCGUGGCGCA
rnacentral:tRNA from 1 species